AACUUUUAGCAAUGGAUCACUUGGUUCUGGCAUCGAUUAAGAACGCAGCGAAAUGCGAUAAGUAAUGUGAAUUGCAGAAUUCAGUGAAUCAUCGAAUCUUUGAACGCACAUUGCGCCCGCCAGUAUUCUGGCGGGCAUGCCUGUUCGAGCGUCAUUUCAACCCUCAAGCCCAGCUUGGUGUUGGGGAUCGGCACAGGCGCCCUCGGGCGCCCGCCGUCCCCUAAAUCUAGUGGCGGUCCCGCUGCAGCCUCCUCUGCGUAGUAGUUUUCUCCUCGCAAGGGCAGCUCGGUGGCGACCUCGCCGUAAAACCCCCAACUUCUGAAAGUUUGACCUCGAAUCAGGUAGGAAUACCCGCUGAACUUAAGCAUAUCAAUAAGCGGAGGCU
rnacentral:misc_RNA from 1 species